ensembl:snoRNA SNORA63 Small nucleolar RNA SNORA63
CAGCAGGAUUUAGACUACAAUAUGGCUGCUAUAUGCUGUGUUGUAGUUCCCCCUGCUCAGAUUAUGGUUAUGUCUUAACUAUACCUGUCUGCUAUCCCCUGUAGCAGCUAGGGAUGCUUGGUUUCAUAGAU